rnacentral:rRNA from 1 species
UACAGAGGUCUCAAGCGUUGUUCGGAUUCAUUGGGCGUAAAGGGUGCGUAGGCGGCGCGGUAAGUCGGGUGUGAAAUUUCGAGGCUUAACUUCGAAACUGCAUUCGAUACUGCCGUGCUAGAGGACUGGAGAGGAGACUGGAAUUUACGGUGUAGCGGUGAAAUGCGUAGAUAUCGUAAGGAAGACCAAUGGCGAAGGCGGGUCUCUGGACAGUUCCUGACGCUGAGGCACGAAGGCCAGGGGAGCAAACGGG